rnacentral:misc_RNA from 1 species
UCGAGUGUACUAAUGGUGGAAUGGAGAAGUUCAAGGGAAGGUGGAGGCAAAGAAGGGGGAUUAUGCGAAGUUGGUGAAGAGUAAAAAUGAGGAGAAGCAGAUGAAUAGGUAGAAGCAUAAAUUGGCUAGGAAGGAGGCUAAGUUAGCGGUUAUGGUGGCAAAACAACAACUUUUGAGGUCUUAUAUGCAGAAUUAAUGGGCAAAGGUGGACUUUAUCAAAAAAUAAAUUGAGGAUGGCAAAGUACGGGUGGAUGAGGUACUUAUCAGAAGGAUAUGGUAGAUAUACUUUCAUACACUCUUGAAUGAAGGG